rnacentral:rRNA from 1 species
AGAGUUUGAUCAUGGCUCAGAUUGAACGCUGGCGGCGUGCCUAACACAUGCAAGUCGAGCGGUAACAGGUGUAGCAAUACAUGCUGACGAGCGACGAACGGGUGAGUAAUGCUUUGGAAUCUUCCCAGUAGUGGGGAACAACCAGUCGAAAGAUUGGCUAAUACCGCAUACGUCUGUGAAGAGAAAGCGGGGGAUCGUAAGACCUCGCGCUAUUGGAUGAGCCAAAGUCGGAUUAGCUUGUUGGUGGGGUAAUGGCCUACCAAGGCGACAAUCCGUAGCUGGUCUGAGAGGACGACCAGCCACACCGGAACUGAGACACGGUCCGGACUCCUACGGGAGGCAGCAGUGGGGAAUAUUGGACAAUGGGGGAAACCCUGAUCCAGCGACGCCGCGUGUGUGAAGAAGGCCUGCGGGUUGUAAAGCACUUUUAGUGGGGACAAAAAGCUACGGACUAACACUCUGUGGUCUUGAUUUAACCCAAAGAAAAAGCACCGGCUAAUUCUGUGCCAGCAGCCGCGGUAAUACAGAGGGUGCGAGCGUUAAUCGGAAUUACUGGGCGUAAAGCGCGCGUAGACGGUUUUGUAAGUCAGAUGUGAAAUCCCCGGGCUCAACCUGGGAACUGCAUUUGAGACUGCAUGGCUAGAGUAUCGAAGAGGGAAGUGGAAUUUCCGGUGUAGCGGUGAAAUGCGUAGAUAUCGGAAGGAACACCAGUGGCGAAAGCGACUUCCUGGUCGAAUACUGACGUUCAUGUGCGAAAGCGUGGGGAGCAAACAGGAUUAGAUACCCUGGUAGU